rnacentral:misc_RNA from 1 species
GGAUGUAGAUUUGUCCAUAAAUGUGUUUUGAGGUGUGGACAACUUUAACUCGCGGAAAACAACCAAGGGCAUGGCAUUGUUUAACAAUAGAGAAAGUGGCAGUAAUAACUGCCUGACUCCCAACAAUAGCUGCAAGGGUUGCAAUAACAAAGACAGGCCAAAAUACAGGUUCAGGUAUUGAGUCAUAAAAACUCUUAUUAAUGGAGUUGAGGUUUUUAGAUAGAAAUGCAGCUUGACCCAUAUACUGUACCACCAAACAAGGGUAUAUAACAAAUGCAAACGCAAUCCUGAUAGAUAAGGCAGUGAAAUGACCAAGGUCAGCAAACAUAGCUUCAGUGCCAGUUAUUGAAAG